GCAAGUCGAGCGGCAGCAUGGUCUUCGGACUGAGGGCGAGCGGCGAACGGGUGAGUAAUACAUCGAAACGUGCCUUUUAGUGGGGGAUAACCCAUCGAAAGAUUGGCUAAUACCGCAUAAUCUCUGAUGAGGAAAGCUGGGGACUCGCAAGGGCCUGGCGCUGAAAGAGCGGUCGAUGGUCGAUUAGUUAGUUGGUGAGGUAAAAGCUCACCAAGGCUAUGAUCGAUAGCUGUUCUGAGAGGAUGAGC
rnacentral:rRNA from 1 species